AUCUGAGGGGAGGCAGAAAACCAGACAUUCAGGCAAUUCUAACAAAGGGCAGCGAGUUUUGUUGACUGAACAAGGCAGUGUGGUCCAUAAUGAGGAUGAAGGUAGCAUAAGCAAUGGUCCUUCACCUUCUGAAACUUAAAUCAAGCUGGGUCGACAAGAUAUUCACAGAGAGAAAAAAAUAUAUGAGACAGAACAUGCCGAGCGCCAGAUGAGUGAGAGAGACAACCAUAUCUGUUAACAGCUUGGAAGGAGAGGGCCCUAUUGACUGAAAUCAUGUAAAAAGGCUUUUCAGAGGUGUUAGAACUUGAACUGGGCCUUGAAAUGGCAUAGCAGAAUUAGUAGCAGCAGUAGUUGUCAAAAUAAUAAUAGUUAUGGGAAAAUGCCUACUUAUGUGUCUCAGCCCUGGCUUGGUAAUCUAUAUAUACUACUAGACUAUUGCUGCAAGUAACUAUGAAUUCAGUAUUAAUCCUGCUUUAUAGGGUAUAAAAAGGAGGUCACUGUGUCACAUGGUGAGGUGAUAGAGCUGCAAUUUCCCUCUGGUCUGCAUUGUUGCCUGCCUUGGGCCCUGGAAAAAGACGAGCCCUGUUCAGUUUCUGGCCAAGGUAAAAAAUACACAGAAUUUUUGAACCAGGAAUUCAUCCCAGUGAAUUUGUCCCAAAUAAAUGGACAAAGAUGCUCAUUUCGCCCCUGUUUGUAAUCAUAAAUGAUUAGGAAAACUCAAAGUGGGCAUGCAGUUGGCAGAGAAGGCUUUGAAGCCUUGGCCGAGGAACAGACUGCUUUUAAUCUAACCCUUUUUUUUGUUGUUGUUGAGAAGUUGUUCCAUUUCAGUCAAGUACCCCUUCAAGAGAACAGAGUGUGAGAACAAAAACACUCACUCUGCCCUUUCCCUAUCCAGGACUUCUCUCACUUUUCCCAGCAAAAAUAAAAACUUAGAACAAGCCCCCCCCCCCCAAAAAAAGUAUAUUUAAUCCUGAGAAUUAACCUCUCCUCUUUCCUGCCCCUAAAUAAAAUACAUAGUUUAGACCUUGAGUAGACACUCCACCUACACUUUUUUCACGGUAUGAAGGAAGUAUUACUCAUUGAUUUUCUCUCUGCACCAGAGGUUUUUCAGAACCAGUAGUCCCUCCGGAAAGAGAGACACUGCCUCACUGUCCUGGACAACAGAGCCCUAGCAACUAAAAUCAGUCAUGCUAGGGGAAAGGUCUGAGCUCCUUGGACCAAGCACCAGGAUCUAGAUGGCUCUGCCUUGUAUGAUAUUUUGCUCUCAGAAACAAGGAAGAGGCUGUUCUAAGGCCCAGGCCCAAGGGAAGUGGAGUUCAUGAACUACAUGGUUCAUUUUGACACUAAUCAUGUACUCACAGGCCUGUAGGGCCCUCAGAGAUCCUUCCAGGCUAGGGCUCCUCAACCUUUGUUGGGGAACUGGCCCCUUGAGAAUCUGAUGAAAUCAUACAACUUCAGAUCCCCUGGACCCCAUCAUGGACCCUUGGGGGCAGGGGGUCCCAAUGGGAAAGGCACCAUUCUGAAGAGUCUCAGCACAUGGGUGUAAUCAUGCCUUCUCGUUUAUGUAUGGAAACAAAUAUAUAUUCUAAAUUAACUUCCUUUUAUUUCUCCCAGUGGGAGAUUAUAUUGCUUUUUAAAUCAUGUGUUUAGAUGGGUUAUAUUAUCCAUGAAUUUCAUUUGAGAAUAGAAAAGGGGAUGUUAGACACUCUAUGUUAUAAAAGGGAGGUGGUUUGGUCUUUUAAGAUUCACAGUCACAUCUAUGGGGAGUCCACAAACCCCAGAUUAAGACCUCCUGCUCUAGGGGAGCCUGGCUGGCUCAGUUGGUAGAGCAUGUGACUCUUAAUCUCAGGGAUGUGAGUUCAAGCCCCACGUUGGGCAUGGAACCUACUUAAAAAAUUAAAUUAAAAAAAAAAAAAAGACCUCCUGCUCUAGCCCACUCCCCUCAUUUUAAGAAGGAAAGCAAAAGCUGGGGCGCCUGGGUGGCUUAGUUAAGCAGCCAACUCUUGACUUUGGCACAGGUCAUGAUCUCACAGUUCGUGGGAUCGAGCCCCACAUGGGGCUCUGUGCUGACACUGCAGAGCCUGCCUGGGAUUCUCUCUCUCCCUCUCUCUGCUCCACCCCUGCUCAUCCUCUCAAAAUAAACAAAUAAACUUAGAAGGAGGAGGAGGGGGAGGGGGAGGGGGAAGAGGAGGAAAGCAAAAACUACUUAGAGACACCUGCCCAAAACACUUGGAGAGUUGGUGGCACAGGGGGACUCAGAAACCAAGCCUCCUGGAGCCUGGCUAGACUCUCUUCUCCCCAAGACUCUCUUCUCCCAACACUGCCUGGAAGUACUGCUGAACCUUCAUCUAGUCUUUUAGGUCUUCUAGACCAUGUUAAGUACUCCUGGCAGACAAAGUCUAUAUCUUUUCUUCUGAAUCUUCUUUCCAAGUAUUCUAAACUCAGGCCCUCAGGAAAUUUUAGUUGAGAAAAAAAAUAAGUGAAAUCAAUUCAGACUUUGUUUCUCCUUCUCAGCCAUUAAGUACACUUGGGCAAGGACCCGUGUGGCCUGGGGAGGAUUAAUGUGUUCUUACCACUGGAGGCUGGCACAGAGUUUUAAUUUCUCCACUGAGCGAUUAUGUUCCACUUUGCAGGGGGUCACCUGGCUCUCCAAGGGCACUGCCCUCCCACAGGUGGAGAUAAAUGAAGCUCAGAGGGAUCAAGACUGGGCUUUUCAGCAUCACUCACCCGGGGAUCCCUGCACCCACCCAGGCAAGUUCUGCCUCUCUGAUGUCUGGGGAGAGGAACAUCCCCAAGAAAUGUCUGAUGACAGUCAUAGAUCCAGUUAGUCUUGAACCAGAUAGCAAAUAUUCUGAACCUUGUGAUCACCUAGCACCAUGACUCAUCUCUACCUGGGAGUAUUUGGUCAGAGUCCCACCCUGCUGCUAACCAGGAGGGUCACCUGGUCAUUGUACCUGUCCAAGCCUAGGUUUCCUUAUCUAUGCCAGGAGAGGGUUGAUCUGAUGGAGCCCUAUGUCUAGUUCUAACAGUCUGAGAGCAUAAACCCAUGGAGAAAGAGGGACCUCACAGGCAGACAGCUAGGGCAGGGGCUCUAAGCCAAGACUUACAGAUGCCAGGAUCACUGCAGGUGAGGGUCCCAUCCUCAGGGACCAGGUGGGCAUUGUACCUCUGGUUGGAAAGCACCUCCGUCAUCUCCCCUGCCCGCUGCCGCUCCCCCAUUUUGGUCUUCAGGAAAAUCCCAAAACCGAUGUCUGAACCAUCUGACAUGAACUGCCACCUGCAGGAGACAUCCACCCAUUGAGACGCGAUUCCGUCCAUGUGUGCACUCUCUGGGGUCCUGCCUUCAGGGCUUCUCCCAGCCCAGCCCACCCACUGGCUCAAAGGCACAGGCUGCCUCGUAGGGUCCAGAGCACUACCUGAGGACACAGCCAGGGAAGAGGAUCUCAUACUCCACUUGGUGGGAGGAGCCACGAGAAAUCUGCACACUGUGCUCAUACUGCUGUUUCACUUGAUCUCGCACAUAAUACUUCUUCGGAAUGUCACCCCCGUAGUUAAUCUAGAAGCAGAACACAGAAUGAACUGGAAUGGGCAUUUGAGCCAGGCUUCCCGGGUGAUCCCCUAGCCCUAUGGGCUACGCGGCGGGGGGCAUGCAGUCCCCUACCUUGGAUUUGCACUUGGGGUCUCCAUUAGAAUCAGUCAUGGUACCCCCAUACUCCAUAGGCAGCUGGUCAGGGCUGAUAUAUUUCAGUAAAACCUCCUUCCAGUUUGCUGGGCAGUAGAGGGAAGGAAGGAGAAAAAAAGGGUCACCACUAGGCAAGAUUUCCUCACGGCCCUGGUGGUCAACACAAAAGAGGCAGGAAAAACCCUGUCUGCCCCAGGACGCAAAACACAGGCAUUAGGAGUACACAGUAUACACACAGAUCUGCAGGGGAUUCAGGAGGAACCAUCACCCAGAGGAUUGCCCUGCCCUGAACUAAGAAUCAGAACACCUUGAGUCGUGUCUCCCCUGCCUCUGGCCAGUUGAACAACCUUGGGCAUUGCUUCACUCUGAGCCUGAUUCCUCCCACCUUGCAAGGCUUCAGUGGGGGGUGAAGUGAACUAAGUACUUGAGAAGAUGCCAUAAACUGUUAAGUGCCUUACGCACAUCAGAAUAUAUUAUCACUCCUUGGAAGAUGAUACAAAUACCUGCAGUGCAGGCAGAGGGAACAAAGAAAGGGAAGGGCAUCCCACGUAGAGGGAACAGCAUAUGCAUCAAGCAGGAGGGCCUGAAUCAACAUAAUCUGUCCUGGGUAGACUGAAUUCCAGGAGGGCACAACCCUGUGUCUCAUCCCCUACUUUCAUCUAUACGAAUCAUGCUCAGUCGUGAGUUACUGAAUGCACCACUGUAGCGUGGCCCUUGAAAUGGGUUCCCUUGGCUUUACCCCAGCCACAACUUUACUUCUGCUGUUUUUCAGGCUGUCUAAGCUGCCAGUGACUCGCCCCCCCCCCCUUUUUUUUGUAAAUAACCAAGCCCUUUCCUGACUCGGAGAGUUUGAUUCUAGUGCAACCAAUGCUGAGAACCAAAUUCCUAACCUAUUAUCAGCCAAGUACAAUAUUUUGAUGCUGGAAACCUUUCCAUGCUGACUAUAUAGACCAUAAAUAGGCAGCAGCUCCAAGUCAUGGGGUACAACCCAGUAUCCUCUGUUGUUGGUACUGGCUGGAAGCCCACAGAGACUGUCCAGAGUCUCCCAACCCUCUGAUUUCUAGGGUCCCGGGACCAUGCAACUCCUGCGACACAGCGUCUGUGGUUUGGGGAGUGAUUUAAUCUGUGCUUCUAAGCCUCACUGACCAACCCAAAAUGAACGUCUUCCCUCCUCUGCUGAAGAUCCUGUAUCUUCCGAGACUGAGAUGGGUUUGGUUGAAAGGGUUUCAGGUGUGGGUGGGAGAACAGACGGCACCUUCUCUACAGCUCUGCUGCCAGGAAACCCAACCACCACAUGCUCAUGGUGGGUGGUAGCAGCAGAAAAGCCAAGAAUCAUCAGAGCCUUUUGCUCAGAUUUUGUAUGUCUUCCCCCAGCUCAGCUGGAGAGUUGGAAUAAGGCCAAAAAGAACUUCCCAUCUUACAGAGAGAGUAACUGAGGCAACAAGAAGCAGAACUUGUUGCUGUCAGAGUCAGGACCAAAUCCCAGAAGUCCUGUACUUUCUAGAAUGCUCCACGCUGCUCCCGGGGCUCAUUAAUACGCACUGGGAAGAUUUCCACUUUCAAUGUGUUGCCUAAUGGUGAACAUUCAGAAACUUUCAGAAUCUGUAUUGCCUACCCCUAAGUUCAACUCCACGGGUGGCAUCGAGUCUGCCAGGAGCCAGUCCCAAUCUACCUCUGUGGUCUUUUCUUCCCACCAACUUCACCUAAUGUUGUGGUAAAACUCAGCUCCUCUCUGUCCGUGGCUGGCUUGAUUCCUAUGCGUCUCUUGCUCUAGCUUCCCUCUUGUGCCCUGAUGUUCUCCCAGCUCCCCAGCACAUCCAAUCCCUGCCGGGUGUGGUCCUGCCAACCUCAUCAAUCACUCUUCAUUCUCCCUGGUGGGCUCCUCUGGCUCUGCCUGCCCUUGAGCUUGGACAGUCCCCAGGACUGAGCCUCCACUCUUCUGUGGGCAUCCUUUAUCUACUCACAAGGUUUUAGUUGCUGCCUGUAUUUGAUAACUCCCGAAUUUCCAAACUGGAGUUCUCUCCUCAGCUUCAGGCUCAAGUAACCCCAACAUCUGUGUAUCUCAGAGAUUCCCCAAACUCAACAUCAAGCUUAUUCUUCCAGUUGUGUUCUCUAGCUGAACGAAUUGUACCAGAAUGAUUGUGAUAUUCAGUCAUUCAUGCCAGACACCAGAAAGUCAUUUCUAGAUUUCUCUUCCUUCCUCUAUCCAGUCGACUGAGUUCUGCUGUUUCACUUCCUAAGUAAGUCUCUAGUCCAUCCUCUUCUCUCCAUCCCUACUGCCACCUCCCCAGCUCAGGUUUGCAACACCUCUUGCAUGGACUGUGGCCACACUGCAAAUUGGUACCUGUGCUUUGCAAGCUUGCCAGUAAAAUGUGUCUCCAUUUGAAAUCUGAUCCUGGUUGGGGUGCCUGGUGGUGCAGUCGGUUAAGCAUCUGACUCUUGAUCUCAGCUCUGGUCACGAUUUCACAUUAUGUGAGUUUGAGCCCUAUGUCGGGCUCUGCGCUGAUAGCAUGGAACCUGCUUGGGAUUCUGUCUCUCCUUCCCUCUGCCCCUCCCCAGCUUGUGCUCUCUCUCACUCUCUAUCAAAAUAAAUAAACUUAAAACAUUAAAAAAUAAAGUAAAAAUCUGAUCCUGGUUAAGAAGAUGGGGUACACAUAUACAAUUCUACUUUGAAUACUACUACAUUGAAUACUACUCAAUGAUGAAAAAGAAUGAAAUCUUGCCAUUUGCAACAACGUGGAUGGAACUGGAGGCUAUUAUGCUAAGCAAAAUAAGUCAGAGAAAGAAAUAUAUUAUUUGACUCAUAUGUGGAAUUUGAGAAACUUAACAGAUGAUCAUAGGGGAAGGGUAUGAAAAAUAAGAUAAAAACAGAGAGGGAGGCAAACCAUAAGAGACUCUUAAAUACAGAGAACAAACUAAGGGUUGAUGGGGGUGGAGGGGUGGGGGAAAAUGGGUGAGGGGCAUUAAGGAGGGCACUUGUUGGGAUGAGCACUGGGUGUUAUGUGUAAGUGAUGAAUCACUGGAAUCUACUCCUGAAGCCAAGACCACUGUAUGUUAGCUAACUUGAGCAUAAAUUUUAAAAAAUAAUAAGGGGUGGCACCUGGGUGGCUCAGUCAGUUAGGCGUCCAACUUCAGCCCGGGUCACGAUCUCACGGCUCGUGAAUUCGGGCCCCACAUCAGGCUCUGUGCUGACAGCUCAGAACCUGGAGCCUGCCUCAGAUUCUGUGUCUCCAUCUCUCUCUGCCCCUCCCCCACUCACUCUGUGUCUCAAAAUAAAUACAUUAUAAAUAAAUAAAUAAAUAAAUAAAUAAAUAAAUAAA